rnacentral:tRNA from 1 species
GCCUGGGUGGCUCAGUCGGUUGAGCGUCCGACUUCGGCUUGGGUCAUGAUCUCACAGUCCGUGGGUUCAAGCCCCACGUCAGGCU